CAAGGACAGGAGCCGAAAUUCAAAGCCAAGCUGGCUGACUUCAGAACCUGUGUUCUUAAUUUCUGGGUUGUCAUUCUGAGCCCGUGAUGAAGAAAAUUUUCAUCUUCUAAAUUCCACUUUUGAAAAAGACCCAACAGAGGAAUUUCAGAAUUGAUUGAUGAGGUUCUCUUUCUCCAAAUAUUGGAAAGAAUAAAAAUGCAGUCUUCCAGGCAACUCAUGAUGCAGAAAGCAAAGCAGUGCUCCUUGGGCCAAAUGGUUCCCUAAGUCCCUUCAGGAGCUAUCAUUUUCACGGCACGACCAUGUCAUGCUGAACCCUUAAUUAUGUAGCACAUCACAUAAUUAGAAAUGCAGAGACAGAUUUGGGAAAAAUCUAACUCUGUACUUUUAUCUUUUGGCGAACAGGGAUCUACAUGAGCAGGGUUUUGAAAACCACUAUUUACUUAACAAAUGCCAGCCUGUGUGUGAUGUUGAGAGAGCCAUGGAGCCCUGAAGCCCUUGCUAAGUGGGUCUCCAUAGCCCUUGUGAGCCCCAUGGAAAGAUGUUCAAUGAACAUCUGUCACUGUAAUUGUAUGUUUCAGAAGUUGCAAGAUUGCUAGAAAAUCUAGUUGAUUGGAAGACAACAAUGAUUCUAUCAUAUUCAUAUGCCUGUGCCUGGAAGCAUACAUUUGUAAGGAAGCCAACAGCAUCAGUGGGUAAGAUUUGCUUGCUUGGAGGCAAAACGCAAAGUGGUUAAUUUUUUGGAUUCUGGAGUCAAUUUAUUUGGAUUAAACUACUGCUUCUGGGGUGUGUAUUUGGCAAAGUGGGUAAGUUGCUGCUUGAGAUACUCCCAUCAUUUUUUGGAGUGCCUGGGUUCGAGUCUGUACUCUUCCUCUGAUCCAUUUUCCUACAAAUGUGCAUCAUGGGAGGCAGCAAGUGAUGGAUGAAGUACUUGGGUCCUUGCCAUAUCAGCAGGAGACCCUAAAUGAGUUCUGAGCUCCUGGUUUCAGGCUGGUCCAGCAUGAACAGUUGUGGGUGUUUGGGGAGUAAACCAGUGGAUGGAAGACCUCUCUGUGUGUCUGUCUCUCUGUCUGUUUUUUAAACAAAAUGAAAAUAAGUAAAUAAAAAUUUUAAAAUUCCAUUUCUGCCA
rnacentral:lncRNA from 1 species